CUAAUCACGCCUCAUCCUCUCUCUCUCGCCUUCAUUUUAUCAGUUCCCUCUCCAUUCUCCAUCGCGCUCUCUCUCACCGAGUCUAUCGACUCUCUCCAUCACGCCAUGACCACGUCUAGCUAAAGCUCUCUCUCUAACUGAGUCUAUCGACUCUCUCUUCCUCAAGCCCCGAUACUCUAAAGUCCGACUGAACAACACCACGUUUAGUCUCUCUUCACUCUUUCCCAUUGAGCUGUUGGAGCACACACGAGCACGGAGCAGCUAAACCAAGACCCAGGUAACCCAAUCACUCACGAAGUUGUUAGUUUCUUCUAUAUUUUUUUUUUCUUUUUCAGAUUUCAAAUUAAUAUCAAGAAAGUGUUUUGAAUAUUGAUUAUAUAUAUUUGUUUCUAAUUGAGAUAACACAAAAAAAUAAAACUAGAGAGGUUGUAUGCUAGCUAAUUUAAACACUCACAGGGCCUCUCUUUCUCACGCUCUCCUCUUUCCCUCGCCUCUCUCAAAUUUCACCUCACUGAAGCCUCUCUCGGAGUAGCUCAAGAGUGGGUAUAAGUCUUGGUUUCUCCCCUUGUUGCUGAUCUGGUUCUUCGAUCCCCUAUUUCACAAUCAGUUAAAACUUUUCUGGAUGGCUGCCUCCAAGAGAAGAGGCAAGAUACUUUGUGUGCAAGCAAUCUUUCACGGGAGACUCUUAUUUUUGUCUGCAUUUUGCAAGUGGU